ACAUAUAUACAAACAUGAAAAGAGGGGUUUCACAUGAAAAGGGAAGAGGUUCCAGCCUAAUUUUCAGAAAUGUUUACUUGAAUAAAACAAACUGAUCAUGAUAAAGUAUAAUGCCCAAUUAUUAACAUUUAAAUCUAACACUAGCAUUGUUGUCCCUUAAAGGUUAUAUACAUGUACUACACAAUGUACAUGUUGAAGGUGUUUUUAGUAUAUAGCUGAACUAUCAAAUGGAAAAGUAAGUUUUUAAUUUCCCGCCUUGACAUUUUCAUUGACAAAUAAGUUUCUAGCCUUCAUUAUAUUUAAAUAAAAUAUAUGUAUAAUCUCUUUCAACUGACUGAGACUAAUGCCUACUUAGGUAUUAGUGCCAGCUUUCAACAAGAGCACAUUUGUAUAAUACAUUUUUUGUAGAUCUGAUCAUGAAACACUGGAACUUAUUUACACACAUACACAUUAUGACAUAUAGACCUACUUGUUUAAUCAAACUUGCAUUUUAAUAAUUUCAAAUCAAAAUCUUUUUGAACUAAAAUCAUAUUCACUAGGAUCUAAAUCAACCUGUUUAUUUGCCAGAAAAGAUCUGAAAUUGUGUAAUAUAACCCCAAAGUCCUUUGGAUUUCUUAAAAGCAGUUGGACAUGUCUCCCAUGACAAGGACAUUUCAUACUUAUGCUUAAAAUUUCUUUGAAGAACAAUUACAUGAGUUCAUAUCUAAACCCAAUACAGAUGAAUUUAACUUUGAUAUCUUUGUUCAGACUGGAAACUCUUCUAAUCCUGUGUUGUAACAAUAUAGACCCUCGGUCCAUAAAUACUUUCAAAUAAGACUUGGGAUCAGUAGAUUGCAUAAAUUUAUCAACAGGUCUACAAAGAUAUUUAACAUUAUUUGGAUAAUUCCUCUUUUAAAAAUAUAUUGCCAAAGGGUCUUAUAAAAACCAUUAUAAUUAAAUCCAAAUCCUUACAUUUUUAAAUAAAUAAGAACUACACUAUUUAGUAGUUCAGAUCUGUAUUAAGGUUAAUGAUUAAAAUAAACCUAUAAAAGCCCCUUGGGUUAAGACCAUUAUAAAAUAAAUUCGAACAAUUAUGAAUUUACCUUUAAAAUGGCAGAAGAGAUACAUGCUCCUAAAUUUAUGUUCAACCCUCAUUAUAAGGUGUGCUUAAGUAUGGCAGAAGACAUUAACAUUAGAAGAUGAGAAAGAAAAGUAUGACCCGAAAAUAAACGCUGUAUAUGGAUUUUGCGAGGAAAUAAGAUUAAGGAAACGAUGAAUGACUACGAUUCUCUAGUGUUCCCCGACAUAUUUUCCCCUAGAAUUUCAUUCCCGACGGAAUAAACACACUUGUGAGAAGAAGGAUUACACUAGAGCAUUUCAUGCCAGUGCAUGUACCGGAAGUUUUACACACCAAAAUGAAAGUACGACUACGACCAUAAGAAUUAGGAAGUGAUAAAGGAUAAUGAAUAGAUAUAUAUAUAUACCAUAAUAAAUAUUAUUAACAGUUA